CCCCUCUCAGGGUCUCACCUGGAGAGUUUCCAGUCCUCUACCAGUCUCAACUUUGGGAGGGAGAGUCCAGCAGAGGCAUACCCAUUCCAUUCCUAGCUUGGCCAGUGGCCAGUGAGUGGAAGGCAUUCUGCUACAGGU